rnacentral:rRNA from 1 species
GACGAACGCUGGCGGCGUGCUUAACACAUGCAAGUCGAACGGAAAGGCCCCUUUGGGGGUACUCGAGUGGCGAACGGGUGAGUAACACCUGAGUAACCUGCCCUUGACUUCGGGAUAACUUCAGGAAACUGGGGCUAAUACCGGAUAGGAAUCCUUGCUGCAUGGUGGGGGUUGGAAAGCUUCGGCGGUUUUGGAUGGACUCGCGGCUUAUCAGCUUGUUGGUGGGGUAGUGGCUUACCAAGGCUUUGACGGGUAGCCGGCCUGAGAGGGCGACCGGCCACAUUGGGACUGAGAUACGGCCCAGACUCCUACGGGAGGCAGCAGUGGGGAAUAUUGCACAAUGGGCGGAAGCCUGAUGCAGCAACGCCGCGUGCGGGAGGACGGCCUUCGGGUUGGAAACCGCUUUCAGCAGGGGCGAAGCUUGUGGUGACGGUACCUGCAGAAGAAGCACCGGCUAACUACGUG